CACUCUUUCGUCUUUCCUUCGCAAUCGCACGUCUAGCUGGUCUGAUAACUCCUAUUGGGUAUACGCAGAGAUGUUAAUUUCCCUCAAUGUUCAGAUGUUCUCCUUGUGAAACAUGUUUCAAAGAGGCUCAGUUGAUGCUAUAUUGCCAGAAUGUGAACAAGGAUUCUAUGUGUUGGUUGGUAAGAGUAUAUCUCCAGCUCAAGCAAUAUAUCUCCAGCUCAAGCAAGUAGAACCCACGAAUGAAAAUCGAGGAUAACUUGCCUCUCUAACUGAAUCAGUUAGAGAGGUCUGUGUAUGUAUAGAUUAUAUAUAUGUUUGUUAAUAGUUGGUUAGGUUGCACUCUUGUAUUAUAAAUACUUAUG